rnacentral:lncRNA from 1 species
ACUUGCAUGCCAUGCCAGUGUCUCCACACUCUUUCGUUAAGAGGACAACCAACGUACAUGACACACAAUGACCUAUACUUGAUAUAGCUAUCAUCUUAAUAAUAGUAUAUUAUUUGAUCGUGAACUAAAGGUUUAAAGACUAAACGAUAUAUCCUCCUAUAUCGAAUCAAAUAGUCUUAAGGACUUCAUCACAUAACAGGAG